AUGGAUGCAAUUGUCUUGAACAUGGAUCGAGAGAUAUAUCUUCCAAUUCAUCUGAUGAGAUGCUUAGGGUGGGUGUGUAUAUCAACUGAAUUUUGUCUUGCAUCUUUCUGUCUUGUUUUUCUAGUAUAUGUCCAAGCCUUUACUCCUAAAAGUAGUAUUGGAAGGUAAAUAUUGGUUGUGAACAAACAAAAAAUGUAAGGUAAAUUAACUGUGGGAGGAACUGGGUCGGAAGAUAUACAAGUGAAAUCAGUUUCUAUCCUGAUCUCUUUUAUUUCCUUCUCGCAAGUGUACUGUUGUAUUUGUUGAAGUUGCCUUUUUUUCACUUCUAUCUGGAUGACCAUUUGUAUUUGUUGGGUUCAUUUCAUCAUAUGCUUCCACGUUAUAUGUUAUAACUUCAUCUUUAUAGGCGACAAUUUCACUAUUCGGACAUUCUUAGUGCAAGAGCUCUUCCAUGCGGGCAUUGAAAAAAGAGUCACUGAUAUGUAAAGAGUCCCAAGGAACUAAGUAAUAGUUUCUAUGGCAAGUCGAGACUUCAAACACCAAGAAGAAGCAAGUUUAACAAACAAAAAAUAGUUUCACAAAACCACUGCUUGAAAGCAUUGCAGUUAUGAAUGUGCAUCCAACACUAGCAACAGAUUAUUAUCUUGUAGAGUGAUAAUCAUCCCACUUCUCCAUUAUAUCCACAAAGGAAACCUAAAAUUCAUGUGAACGCUUCUCAACAAAACUGAACUGAUACAAGCAGGGUCAUGGUCUAAAAUGUUUUUAAAGAAACAGUGAUACAGUUCUAUCAUCAUGCAUUAUUUGUCUAUGAGACUCCAAAACGAGAGACCCAUUAUCCUUCAGUGAUGUGCCUUGGCUGCAGCUUUUUGUUGAGACUUGGCCUUUGCCUGCGGCAGAGGACAAAAUAAAUCAAGUUAAUAAACAAGAAGCAUCCUUGCACAUAAUGUGCAUGCAAUUCUGAUUUUCCGUCUAGAUUAAAUAAACUCUGUUGUCUAGUCUGAAAUUUUUAAAUAAAAUCCUUUAAAAACUUGCAUUAAAGUCGGCAAAUAAAUUUCACAAGCAGAGUGGCACAACCUUGCUGCCCAACGGAAAUGAACUAUCUAAACAUGCAACCGUGCAGAAAAAAACAUUGUUCACGCAUGAUCCAACCACAGAAAUUGCAUUACAAGAAACUGGAUACCAUGAAUUUUAAAAUUUUGAAACUUGCUAAACAAAACUAUUUCUAUGGCACACUCGUUAAAAGGGAGAGGUAUUAAUGUCGUAAACUCAUAGUUACUCGGUAACUUGCACUGAACUUAUCACGUGUAACAGAAUGAUCCAUGUUUAUUUGGCAAUUUGCUUGAACAAGAAAUAUCAGCUAACAUGUAAUAGAACACAACCAACAAAAUGACAAUAUGGAUUCUUUUUCACGAGUUAUCAAUAAUCUUAAGUUUGACCACUAUUGGUGUCUCCGUUAUUGUGACACACAAAUCACACGUGCCUCCUAAUAAAUAUGGAUCAGCAUGUAUAAAAAGAAGUUGCUCAAGUUACUAUAUCUUAAUGAGUUUUAUACUACACGAACUUCUCAUCAAAAGCGCCCCUCUAAUAAAUACCGUUUUAUACCAAUACAUUUGGUAGAUUAUAAAGACAUGCACUUAUACUGACCGAGUCGCUUCACCUUGGGCAACCUCCAAAUACCAAGAUGUUACACCAAAGUUGCUUUUCUCAAACUUUGUAGUAGUGUUGAACAUACAAUCAGCAAUAUGGAAAAGCUUCACCAAUACCAUGAUUAAAUAGAAUGCAAGCUGCAUUAGUAAAUUCUUGAUAUGGCUAAUAAGUACAACUUCAACUAUGAAGUAUUUCUUGGUUUUGACAGGUAAUUGACCUCGUAGUCAUUAUUUAUUGCUGAAAGCUAAAUAAAUAUAAUACAUGAGUUUGAAAAAAUCAGGUGAAAGAACAAGUCUUCCCCAUAACAUUAAAAAUAAGGGAAAGCUAGAAGAAUCUGAAUAUGGAAAUCAGUAUAAACAUAUCAUGUCAACAAGUAUCUAAUGAUUCAAAGAGAAAUAUCUCAGCCACUAUUAGAAUUCCACUAAACCAGGAAAUGCAAAUAAAGAAUCUAUAUGACAUCUGCCAAUACUUGCAUGAAACCUUUACCCAAGUCAGGUUCAUCUAAAAUCCUAUCACAUGUCCCAUGUCAGUAAUACAUAAGUUGCUUAACUAAGAUGCACUAAUUUAGCUAUUCUAAAUUAUUAAUCGAACUAAACCUUGAAAAAUCAAUUAGACUGAUAAACAUCCAAGCCAAACACCAAUUAUUUAUUUAUCAAGUACCUACUUGUAUAUUCGAGCAGGAACAAGCACAAGCAAACCACAAACAUUAUUGAACAACAAAUCUUCAGGUACAUUAAGUAAAUAUCCGGUGCUGAAACAUAUUUAUCACAAAAACAUCUUUGGCCAAUAACAACGAAUUCAACCAGUUAACAAAAACUAUCCACCAUAAAAGAAACAAUUGGUCGUUCAUGUGAAUGCAAUCAUUAGUAAAAUGUAAUGUUUAAUAGUAGCAUCCCUAUAACCAUGAACAUUUCGCAUGCAAAAACUAAUCUUUAAGAUAUAGUGAGCAUUAAACACACAAGUCAAGCCUUCACUGGAAAGCUAAUGCACCAAACAUCCCAAAUACCUAAACUAAGCUGAAAAGGCAAUUACCCAUCCAAAAUAAAGUAAAGUGGAAUAAAAUAGCCCCAUAUACAUUGCAAACAAAAUUAAAUUGAACACAGUCCCUGGAUCUAAAAAUAACCAAUUUUUCAUUUUCAAUGAAAAAAUCACAAAAACAAAUUAUCAUUAAAAACUAAUAACAAUAAACCCAUCUGAAUUAAUUAGAUUCAUUACAUUAACUAUAUAUCCGAUACCCAUAAAAUAUAUUUACUUUAAAAAAAUAGAGAAAAUAAAAAUUACAACAAGAUAGCUAGAGUUUACCUUAAGAUACUUAAGCUUCAUGCUUCCAUAAACNNNNNNNNNNNNNNNNNNNNNNNNNNNNN
rnacentral:lncRNA from 1 species